rnacentral:lncRNA from 1 species
GGAAGACACCAGAGCUGUCCCUCUCUCGGCUUGCACUAAGGAGGAGGUCACGUGAGCACACAGUGAGAAGGCGGAGGACCAUCUGCAAGCAGGAAGAGAGCCCUCGCUAGAACCCCCCACGGUGGCAUCUGAUAGUGGACUUCUAGCUUCCAGAACUGAACUCAUAAAUGUCACAUCAGGCUGCCUCUUGGUGAAUUUUUAAUCAACGGGGAGAAUUUCAGCUACAAAUAGACCAAGAAUCAAGAGGCCCACUAUUGAUCGGUCAAAGUGGCACUUAUGAACCUGAGGUUGAAGCAGUUUGGAUAAAAGGAUUCUGGGCUUUCGAUGGCCCCAGAGACAUCUUUUUCCAUCAAGUCCAGGCUUGCUGAUCGGUACAGCUGAGAACAUGUUGAAUUUGAUGUGCCUGUGGAUAUUUGAGUCUGGAACAUUGAAGACAAGUUUGGUCUGGAGAUGUAGACUGGGGAUAUCUCAGCACACAGAUGAUAACUGAAAUGAUGGAGCGGAUGAUAUAAACUGGAGAGAGUCUGGUGUGGGAAGAGUCUUCCCUGAGGUGGCCGAAAGAUGUAAUUCUUACUCCAAAGACUGAAAUAGAGACAAGAGAAGCUGAAGUUACAGGGUUUUGUCAUUGGGAAGACAGUAGAGUGUGUCAUAUCCCAAGAGUGAAGCAAGGACAAACCAAAGAACAACUGGGAAGAUCUGGGAGAAAAAGGGAGAGGAGAGCCUGACGUUUCAAGAACUCAAGGUUCAGUACUAGGUCUUAGAGGAAGACUUCAUUUUAGCUUUGAUGCUCUCCGCUAGGCACAGAGAAACUUAAGCAGAAUGACAAGACCUGCUGUUUGAGUAACUCACGUUCUGACCAGAGAGACAGACAUGUCAGCAAGAGGUUACAAUACAGUGUGCUCAGAUUCUCCGGGACUUGGAGCACUUGUUCCAGAAAGGAAGGCCAGGGAAGUCUUCCAGGAGUAGAUGGCGCCUCUGCUGACCUGAAGGGUGAGGAAAAAGUGUCCAGUUGCAGAAGAAAUGAUGCAACUGAGUCACAGAGAAGUUAAGUAAUCUGCCUGCCGACACUCGGGUCGAUGCCGCCUCAUUCCAUCACUCGGGCAAUGGAGCCAAAGGCCACGUUCACAACCACUAGGCUGUCCCAGCCCCUUGCUUCAAAGAUAGCCAGGCAGGAGUUAUUUUAUAGAAUGGAAGUAAUUUCUACGGGGCCAAGCAAUAAUAAGGAAAUUGGAAGUCAAGGACUAUCUUCCGAAUGGAGAAGAAGCUCCAUCAACCACAGAAGGAAAUUAUGAUCACUCCUGCCAUCCUGCUCCUUUGUGUAUCCAGGAUGAAGGGGAGAAUUGGAGUCUUGCACAAUGAAAGGACAACAUUGCUGCCAAAACAAUCCAUCGUGACUGUAGACAUAUUUUCCACCCUCAUCCUGCAGGUUUUCUGCCAGUUGUUGGCCCCUCACCAAUUUUGCUCCUGGGCAGUCUGAGGUGGAACAUAAUUUUGUAUAAAACAAAUUAUGCUCAACCUCACUUAUAAUCAGGGAAAUGUGAGUCAAAACCACAAUAAAAUAUCACCUCAUGCUGUUUAGGAUUGCUGUUAUCAAGUAGACAAGAAAGAAGUGUUGGUGAGGGUAAGGAGAAAAUAAAAUCUUUGCACACUGUUGGUGGGAAUGUAAGUUGGUAAAGCCACUAUCAAAGGCAAUAUGAAGGAUUCUCAAAAAAUUAAAAAUAAAAUUGCCAAAUGAUCCAUCAAUCCUUCUUCUGGACACAUAAUCAAAGGAAAUGAAAUCAGUAUCUCAAAUAGAUAUUUGCACCCCAUAUCCAUUGCAUCCUUUUUUGUAAUAACCAAGAUAUGGGAGCAAUCGAAGUGUCCAUCAGCAAAUGAAUGGAUAAAGAAAUCAUGGUACACAUAUACAGUGGAAUAUUAUUCAGACAUAAAAAGGAAGGAAAUCCUGUCAUUUCUCAAGACAUUAAUGAACCCAGAGGACAUCAUACUAAGUGAAAUAAGCUAGAUAUAGGAAGACAAAAACCACAUGAUCUCACUUACAUGUGGAAUCUAAAAAAGUCAAACUCAUAGAAGCAGCGAGUAGAAUAGUGGUUGUCAAGGGCUUGGGAUAAUUGAGGAGAUGUUGGUUAAAGGGUACAAACUUUAAGUUAUAAGAUGAACAAGUUCUGGCGCUCUACUAUAUAGUAUGGGUGAUGACGGAUGUGUUAAUUAAUUUGAUUGUGACAUUCAUUACACGAUGCAUAUGUAUAACAAAUCAUCACAUUGUACACCUUGGAUAUAUUCCAUCUUUAUUUAUCAAUUAAAUAUUUCAAAAUGUUUUUAAAAAGGAAGGCAAAA